rnacentral:rRNA from 1 species
GACGAACGCUGGCGGCGUGCUUAACACAUGCAAGUCGAACGGAAAGGCCCUGCUUUUGUGGGGUGCUCGAGUGGCGAACGGGUGAGUAACACGUGAGUAACCUGCCCUUGACUUUGGGAUAACUUCAGGAAACUGGGGCUAAUACCGGAUAGGAGCUCCUGCUGCUUGGUGGGGGUUGGAAAGUUUCGGCGGUUGGGGAUGGACUCGCGGCUUAUCAGCUUGUUGGUGGGGUAGUGGCUUACCAAGGCUUUGACGGGUAGCCGGCCUGAGAGGGUGACCGGCCACAUUGGGACUGAGGAACGGCCCGGACUCCUACGGGGGGCAGCAGUGGGAAAUAUUGCACAAUGGGCGGAAGCCUGAUGCAGCAACGCCGCGUGCGGGAUGACGGCCUUCGGGUUGUAAACCGCUUUCGCCUGUGACGAAGCGUGAGUGACGGUAAUGGGUAAAGAAGCACCGGCUAACUACGUG